rnacentral:rRNA from 1 species
UAGUGGCAGACGGGUGAGUAAUGUAUAGGAAUCUACCUAAUAGUACGGAAUAAUUGUUGGAAACGGCAACUAAUACCGUAUACGCCCUACGGGGAAAAGAUUUAUUGCUAUUAGAUGAGCCUAUAUUAGAUUAGCUAGUUGGUGGAGUAAUAGCCUACCAAGGCAAUGAUCUAUAGCUGAUCUGAGAGGAUGAUCAGCCACACUGGAACUGAGAUACGGUCCAGACUCCUACGGGAGGCAGCAGUGGGGAAUAUUGGACAAUGGGCGAAAGCCUGAUCCAGCCAUGCCGCAUGAGUGAAGAAGGCCUUUGGGUUGUAAAGCUCUUUUAGUGAGGAAGAUAAUGACGGUACUCACAGAAGAAGUCCUGGCUAACUCCGUGCCAGCAGCCGCGGUAAUACGGAGAGGGCUAGCGUUAUUCGGAAUUAUUGGGCGUAAAGGGCGCGUAGGCGGAUUAGUAAGUUAAAAGUGAAAUCCCAAGGCUCAACCUCGGAAUUGCUUUUAAAACUGCUAAUCUAGAGAUUGAAAGAGGAUAGAGGAAUUCCUAGUGUAGAGGUGAAAUUCGUAAAUAUUAGGAGGAACACCAGUGGCGAAGGCGUCUAUCUGGUUCAAAUCUGACGCUGAGGCGCGAAGGCGUGGGUAGCAAACAGGAUUAGAUACCCUGGUAGUCCACGCUGUAAACGAUGAAUGUUAAAUAUGGGAAGUUUACUUUCUGUAUUACAGCUAACGCGUUAAACAUUCCGCCUGGGGACUACGGUCGCAAGAUUAAAACUCAAAGGAAUUGACGGGGACCCGCACAAGCGGUGGAGCAUGUGGUUUAAUUCGAUGCAACGCGAAAAACCUUACCACUCCUUG